GCUAAUGUAGUGUAGUGGUUUGAGCAUUUGACUAUGACUCUGGUGACAAGGGUUUGAAUCCCUGCUUGGCCA